rnacentral:misc_RNA from 1 species
AACGGAACGAAGGGAGUGCAGAAAUAUUCAUUAGAACUGAAACCUAAAGGACAUCAAUGGCUUAGAAAAGGUGUAGGCAAAUAAAUUUGUAAUGGAAAACCUCUACAGAAGAAAAGCAGGAACCCCAGGCACAAUAUGAAGUUAAACAGACAACUUAUAGGAAUAUAAACAGCGAAAAAUGAGAUGUGGAAUCACUUGGAGUUCACCGCUGCUUCUGUAUCCUCUUGUCUCUAAUGGGCAAUUCAACAGGUUUCUGUGCCUCGUGAGGAUGUUCAGGACCUUUAUACACCUUAAGAUGUGUAAAUAGUUGUCUACCAAGCCUCCCUUUGGGAAGCAUGCCACGGACAGCAUGCUCA